rnacentral:rRNA from 1 species
AAAAACUCUCCGUUGGUGACCAGCGGAGGGAUCAUUACUGAGUUUACGCUCUAUAACCCUUUGUGAACAUACCUAUAACUGUUGCUUCGGCGGGUAGGGUCUCCGCGACCCUCCCGGCCUCCCGCCUCCGGGCGGGUCGGCGCCCGCCGGAGGAUAACCAAACUCUGAUUUAACGACGUUUCUUCUGAGUGGUACAAGCAAAUAAUCAAAACUUUUAACAACGGAUCUCUUGGUUCUGGCAUCGAUGAAGAACGCAGCGAAAUGCGAUAAGUAAUGUGAAUUGCAGAAUUCAGUGAAUCAUCGAAUCUUUGAACGCACAUUGCGCCCGCCAGCAUUCUGGCGGGCAUGCCUGUUCGAGCGUCAUUUCAACCCUCAAGCUCUGCUUGGUGUUGGGGCCCUACAGCUGAUGUAGGCCCUCAAAGGUAGUGGCGGACCCUCCCGGAGCCUCCUUUGCGUAGUAACUUUACGUCUCGCACUGGGAUCCGGAGGGACUCUUGCCGUAAAACCCCCCAAUUUUCCAAAGGUUGACCUCGGAUCAGGUAGGAAUACCCGCUGAACUUAA